rnacentral:rRNA from 1 species
GGAUUGUAGGCUGAAACUCGCCUACAUGAAGCUGGAGUUACUAGUAAUCGCAGAUCAGAAUGCUGCGGUGAAUACGUUCCCGGGUCUUGUACACACCGCCCGUCACACCAUGGGAGUCGGAAAUGCCCGAAGUCAGUGGCCCAACCGGAAGGAGGGAGCUGCCGAAGGCAGGUCCGGUGACUGGGGUGAAGUCGUAACAAGGUACC